CCGUUGCCGGCGACCGGCGCACGGGUGAGUAACACGUAUGCAACCUGCCCGUGGCAGGGGGAUAAGCGGGGGAAACCCCGUCUAAUACCGCGUAACGCGGCCUAGGGACAUCCCAAGGCCGCCAAAGGGAGCAAUCCCGGCCACGGAUGGGCAUGCUGCGCAUUAGCUAGUCGGCGGGGUAACGGCCCACCGAGGCGACGAUGCGUAGGGGUUCUGAGAGGAAGGCCCCCCACACUGGUACUGAGACACGGACCAGACUCCUACGGGAGGCAGCAG
rnacentral:rRNA from 1 species